AUUGAACGCUGGCGGCAGGCUUAACACAUGCAAGUCGAGCGAGCGGCGGACGGGUGGGUAAUGUCUGGGAAACUGACUGAUGGAGGGGGAUAACUACUGGCAACGGUAGCUAAUCCCGCCUAACAUCGGAUGUGCCCAGAUGGGCUUGGAUAGUAGGUGGGGUAAUGGCUCACCUGGGCGGCGAUCCCUUGCUGGUCUGAGAGGAUGACCAUCCACACUGGAACUGAUGCACGGUCCAGACUCCUACGGUAGGAAGCAGUGGGGAAUAUUGCACAAUGGGCGCAAGCCUGAUGCAGCCAUGCCGCGUGUGUGAAGAAGGCCUUCGGGUUGUAAAGCACGUUCAGCGAGGAGGCGUUACUCGCAGAAGAAGCACCGGCUAACUCCGUGCCAGCAGCCGCGGUAAUAC
rnacentral:rRNA from 1 species